GAGAGGAAAGAGGUUGCAGGGAACUUAGAGACUAAUCUUUGCCAACAUACUGGAUUUCUGGUGAUGACAAUAGCAGCAGAUAGUAUGCGGCUCAGUUAAUACUAAAAACAAUUGAUUUUACUAAUUAGUGGACUAUGAGUGUGUGUUUGGCCAUCCAGAUUUCAUAACUACAACUGAUGUUCAAUUACAAGGGAUAUUAAUCAGUCUCCGUGGACUAUACACUGUGCCUAGUUUCAUCCUCAGAGACUGAUGUGUAAGCUUAAAGUAAAGACAUCAAAUCAAAGUAUCAGCCAUCAAGAGGAAAAACAUUCAAAAUCAUAUUGUGAUACACAAGUCAAGCAAGUCUGACCAGCAUUUUGAUACAGGCCAAGAAAAAGCUGGAUACUUGAUUGGAAGGGUCGCACAAAAAACAUGGGUUAUCACUAGGGAAACAAGCUCGCAAUACAGUUCACUGUUAGGACAGCAAGCCAAAUACUUCUAAACUUAUUUGAAUCAUUUUUGCUGUUUAUUAUAAUUCAUCCAAUUGUCUUAUUAAAUAUAUAAAUUUAUAUAUAUACACAAUUCCUAAUAUAGAAUUUCUAAAAAUGUUUUAUUAUAAUAUUUAAAAAUGAAACAAACAUGUUCCCAGAACACAGCCACAUAAUGUCAACAUGUUCCUAGA